rnacentral:rRNA from 1 species
AUUGAACGCUGGCGGAAUGCUUUACACAUGCAAGUCGAACGGCAGCACGGACUUCGGUCUGGUGGCGAGUGGCGAACGGGUGAGUAAUGUAUCGGAACGUGCCCAGUCGUGGGGGAUAACGUAGUGAAAAUUACGCUAAUACCGCAUACGAUCUAUGGAUGAAAGCGGGGGAUCGCAAGACCUCGCGCGAUUGGAGCGGCCGAUAUCAGAUUAGGUAGUUGGUGGGGUAAAGGCCCACCAAGCCAACGAUCUGUAGCUGGUCUGAGAGGACGACCAGCCACACUGGAACUGAGACACGGUCCAGACUCCUACGGGAGGCAGCAGUGGGGAAUUUUGGACAAUGGGCGCAAGCCUGAUCCAGCCAUUCCGCGUGCAGGAUGAAGGCCCUCGGGUUGUAAACUGCUUUUGUACAGAACGAAAAGGUUUCUACUAAUACUAGGAGCUCAUGACGGUACUGUAAGAAUAAGCACCGGCUAACUACGUG